rnacentral:rRNA from 1 species
GAUGAACGCUGGCGGCGUGCCUAAUACAUGCAAGUCGAGCGAAGCGGGGACGGGUGAGUAACACGUGGAUAACCUCCUAUAAGACGGGGAUUACUUCCGGAAACCGGUGCUAAACCCGCUUAUUAUCGCUGGAUCUGCGCUGCAUUAGCUAGUUGGUAAGGUAACGGCUUACCAAGGCGACGAUGCAUCGCCGACCUGAGAGGAUGAGCAGCCACACUGGAACUGAGACACGGUCCAGACUCCUACGGGAGGCAGCAGUGGGGAAUCUUCCGCAAUGGGCGCAAGCCUGACGGAGCAACGCCGCGUGAAUGAUGAAGGUCUUCGGGUCGUAAAGCUCUGUUAUUAGGGAAGCGGUACCUAAACAGAAAGCCCCGGCUAACUACGUGCCAGCAGCCGCGGUAAUAC